UGUGAUGUGUUGUCUUGUUUGUGUUUUGUUUUGUUGCGUCUUGUUGUGUCUUGUGUCUUUGUGUGUUACGUUCUGUUGUGAUGUGUUGUCUCGUCAUGUGAUCUGAUCUGAUGUGAUGUGAUGAUUAAUGAUGUGACAUAAUAUCAGGUCAUGUGAUGUGAGCUACAUUUUGUUUCAUCAAAAUGAACUUUUUGGUUCAUUGAAUGUCCCAGCGUCUCUUUGAUUCAUUCCCUCAGCGGACAGGUGGGAUCUAAAAAAGGAACAGGAGCUGAAAUCUAAAGAAGAGCCCUGAACAACAGAACAGAGGAGACAGGAAGCAGCACAGAGGACACAGACAGGAUGAGAUUGAAUGAACAGACCGACAACGAGAAAGAAGAAGAAAAGACGAGAGACAAGUGUCAACGCUGAGACCUCAAAGCAAACAGAGGAGUCCAUUUAAAGAGGAGACGGACGAGUUUGGAGACAACAAGAGGUCGGCACAACAUUUAGAAUCAGCUGCAAAAACAGAGUUUGCAAAUCAAAUCUGAAUAAAUAUAGAACCAUGAAUAAUC